rnacentral:lncRNA from 10 species
CCAGUAGAAAAUCACAUCUAUACAAAUAAUGGCCCCUGAAAAUAUGUUGAUAUUAUUGGGCCUUUGAAAUGCCUUCAGUGUGGUCUAUUAUUUUAUGAGCAGCAUUUGCCACAACUCGUUCUACCCCCGUGAAGUCCAAACUUUUCAUUGUGGCAUUCAAAGCCACUUAUAGCCGAAUCUAUCUACCUUUCCACUUCAAUUCCAGAGACUUCCCAGCUCAACCCCUAGCUUGGAGUGUAGACACUGUUGGGCCCUCAUCCCUCAAUGCGAAGCCCAUAUUCACACUUGAGGGCAUGUGUUCAGGAUGAGCCCUCUGUGUUAGAGCUUCCAGACCGUUUAAAAUUAAUAGCCCAUGAAAGUGGUCCUUUCGUAUUCAUAGGUUCUGUAUCUACAGAUCCAA